CGUCAGAUGAACGCUGGCGGCGUGCCUAAUACAUGCAAGUCGAGCGAACAGACGAGGAGCUUGCUCCUCUGACGUAGCGGCGGACGGGUGAGUAACACGUGGAUAACCUACCUAUAAGACUGGGAUAACUUCGGGAAACCGGAGCUAAUACCGGAUAACAUGUUGAACCGCAUGGUUCAACAGUGAAAGACGGUCUUGCUGUCACUUAUAGAUGGAUCCGCGCCGCAUUAGCUAGUUGGUAAGGUAACGGCUUACCAAGGCAACGAUGCGUAGCCGACCUGAGAGGGUGAUCGGCCACACUGGAACUGAGACACGGUCCAGACUCCUACGGGAGGCAGCAGUAGGGAAUCUUCCGCAAUGGGCGAAAGCCUGACGGAGCAACGCCGCGUGAGUGAAGAAGGUCUUCGGAUCGUAAAACUCUGUUAUUAGGGAAGAACAAAUGUGUAAGUAACUAUGCACGUCUUGACGGUACCUAAUCAGAAAGCCACGGCUAACUACGUGCCAGCAGCCGCGGUAAUACGUAGGUGGCAAGCGUUAUCCGGAAUUAUUGGGCGUAAAGCGCGCGUAGGCGGUUUUUUAAGUCUGAUGUGAAAGCCCACGGCUCAACCGUGGAGGGUCAUUGGAAACUGGAAAACUUGAGUGCAGAAGAGGAAAGUGGAAUUCCAUGUGUAGCGGUGAAAUGCGCAGAGAUAUGGAGGAACACCAGUGGCGAAGGCGACUUUCUGGUCUGUAACUGACGCUGAUGUGCGAAAGCGUGGGGAUCAAACAGGAUUAGAUACCCUGGUAGUCCACGCCGUAAACGAUGAGUGCUAAGUGUUAGGGGGUUUCCGCCCCUUAGUGCUGCAGCUAACGCAUUAAGCACUCCGCCUGGGAGACACCACUUGG
rnacentral:rRNA from 1 species